rnacentral:rRNA from 1 species
UACAGAGGGGGCAAGCGUUGUUCGGAAUUACUGGGCGUAAAGGGCGCGUAGGCGGCCAUUCAAGUCAGGGGUGAAAGCCUGUGGCUCAACCACAGAAUUGCCUUUGAUACUGUUUGGCUAGAGACCGGAAGAGGUAAGUGGAACUGCGAGUGUAGAGGUGAAAUUCGUAGAUAUUCGCAAGAACACCAGUGGCGAAGGCGGCUUACUGGUCCGGGUCUGACGCUGAGGCGCGAAAGCGAUGGGGAGCAAACAGGGAUUAAGAAACC